rnacentral:misc_RNA from 1 species
AAGUCGUAACAAGGUUUCCGUAGGUGAACCUGCGGAAGGAUCAUCAUUGAAUUACAUUUAUUAACCCUUGUGAACUGUAUGUGUAGAGCUUGGUUGGCGGGAGCUUUGGAUCGAUUUGAUCUCUCAGCAGCCGCUCGGCUUUGUCGCGUUCGGAAUUCGAUACCGACUGCCCGCCACCAUUCUCGCCUUUUAACAAACUUUUAAAGCACAAACUGAUACAAUUUUAAAUAAUUAAAACAACUUUCAACAAUGGAUCUCUUGGUUCUC